rnacentral:rRNA from 1 species
CCUACGGGGGGCAGCAGUGGGGAAUAUUGGACAAUGGGGGCAACCCUGAUCCAGCCAUGCCGCGUGUGUGAAGAAGGCCCUCGGGUUGUAAAGCACUUUCAGUGAGGAAGAACGCCUGGUGGUUAAUACCCAUCAGGAAAGACAUCACUCACAGAAGAAGCACCGGCUAACUCCGUGCCAGCAGCCGCGGUAAUACGGAGGGUGCGAGCGUUAAUCGGAAUUACUGGGCGUAAAGCGCGCGUAGGUGGCUUGAUAAGCCGGUCGUGAAAGCCCCGGGCUCAACCUGGGAACGGCAUCCGGAACUGUCAAGCUAGAGUGCAGGAGAGGAAGGUAGAAUUCCCGGUGUAGCGGUGAAAUGCGUAGAGAUCGGGAGGAAUACCAGUGGCGAAGGCGGCCUUCUGGACUGACACUGACACUGAGGUGCGAAAGCGUGGGUAGCAAACAGGGUUAGAUACCCUUGUAGUC